GAAUUUUCAUAGCUAUUUCAGAGUUUUUUCUAACAGGAUUUCUGACCUUGGUUAGAAAUCCCAA